GACGAACGCUGGCGGCGUGCUUAACACAUGCAAGUCGAACGGAAAGGCCCCUUUGGGGGUACUCGAGUGGCGAACGGGUGAGUAACACGUGAGUAACCUGCCCUUGACUUCGGGAUAACUUCAGGAAACUGGGGCUAAUACCGGAUAGGAAUCCUUGCUUCAUGGUGGGGGUUGGAAAGCUUCGGCGGCUUUGGAUGGACUCGCGGCUUAUCAGCUUGUUGGUGGGGUAGUGGCUUACCAAGGCUUUGACGGGUAGCCGGCCUGAGAGGGCGACCGGCCACAUUGGGACUGAGAGACGGCACAGACUCCUACGGGAGGCAGCAGUGGGGAAGAUUGCACAAGGGGCGGAAGCCUGAUGCAGAAACGCCGCGGGCGGGAUGACGGCCUUCGGGUUGUAAACCGCUUUCAGCAGGGGCGAAGCUUGUGGUGACGGUACCUGCAGAAGAAGCACCGGCUAACUACGUG
rnacentral:rRNA from 1 species